rnacentral:rRNA from 1 species
GCCAGUAAUGAUAUGCUUGUCUUAAAGAUUAAGCCAUGCAUGUGUCAGUUCAAGCUUUGCAAAGUGAAACCGCAAAUGGCUCAUUAAACCAGCUAUUAUUUGCUGGCCGAGACGUGUUACAUGGAUAACUGUGGUAAUUCUAUAGCUAAUACAUGCUGCCGGCUUGCCGUGGCCGCUGCGGCUGUCGCUUUUGUGACUGUCGCGCCAAACGGCAAGGCUUUUAUUGGCUUAGAAAACCAAGAGCGAGAUGAGUGUUUCGGCACUCGCUCGCUCACUCAUUAUCCAGUGGAAUCACGAUAACAUUGUAGUGAAUCGUACGGUCUUGCACCGACGAUGCGUUCUAUAAAUGUCUGACCUAUCAGCUGUGGACGGUUUGAUAGAGGCUGACCGUGGCAAUGACGGGUGACGGGGAAUCUGGGUUCGAUUCCGGAGAGGGAGCCUGAGAAACGGCUACCACAUCUAAGGAAGGCAGCAGA